ACUUGGAUCCCGGUUCAUAUCCAGACUAAUAUCUGGCAGGACUGGUGUCCACCAACCCGGGUUGAUUGCCUCUCCAGGGUCAUGGAAUUCUCUCCGGGUUGGGUGCGCCUCCGGGAUUGCGUCCUUGCAUUGUUGGUCCUUCGAACCGGGGUUGGAGUUAGUCUUGCUCCCGGUUCUUGGCGGGAUUGAGGUAACCCAAUCCGGAUUGGGAUACUUGUCAGGACAUGGUUGAACUAUUCUCACCAAUCCGGAUUCAUGUUUUGGAGUGGGUGGACUAUUCUCCGCUGGGCCGAAUUCCUCCCGGGGUUGUGCUGAGUCUGGACCAGACUUGGCCAAGGACUUUGAGAAUACUGCCGGGUUGGAUUAUAUACUAUCAUUUGCCCCUCACUCCCUGACACAGAUUUUCUGUGUGAGGGAGUAGAGAAUAAUGCGAAUCUUGUCUUCAAUCUGGACGAGAAUGGAGUAGGAGUAAAAAUUUGCCCCCCAAUCUGGGUUGAUCCGGACAAGAGGUGAAGCUUUGCUUUUUGCCCCCCAGUCCGGGUUGAUCCGGACAAGAGGUGAGAUUUUGCUUUUUGCCUUUGGUCUGGGUUGGUCCGGAUAAGGGGAGGUUUUUGCUGUCGUCAUCUGAUCCGGGUAUGAAUGAGUCCUGGCGAGAUUGCUUGAUAUGAGUCCUGACGAGAUUGCUUGACAUGAGUCCUAACGGGUUUGUUUGACAUGAGUCCGGAUGGGAUUGCUUGACAUUAGUCCGGAAGUGAUUGCUUGACAUUAGUCCGGACGGGAUUGCUUGACAUGAGUCCGGACAUGAUUGAUUUACAUUAGUCCGGACGUGAUUGCUUGACAUGAGUCCGGAAGUGAUUGCAACCUGGGUAGCUUUUGCUUGUUUCCCUUAGAAAAAAUUUUCCAAGUAAGAGAUAGCUCAUGAUUGAACUCGGGUUCUCAAAAUUGAACCGGGGUAGCUUUCUAAGUAAGAGAUAGCUCAUGAUUGAACCCGGGUUCUCAAAAUUGAACCCGGGUAGCUUUUGCUUUUUUGUCUUGGAAUUUUUUUUUUCAAGUAAGAGAAUGCUCAUGAUUGACCGGGGUAGCUUUUGCUUUUUUGCCUUAGAAAAUUUUUCAAGAAUUUUUUUCUAAGUAAGAGAUAGGUCAUAACUGGACCGGGGUAACUUUUACUUUUUUGCCUUAGAAAAAUUUUUCCAAGUAAGAGAUAGCUCAUGAUUGAACCCGGGUAGCUUUUGCUUGUUUGCCUUAGAAAAAUUUUUCCAAGUAAGAGAUACCUCAUGAUUGCACCCGGGUAGAUUUUGCUUGUUUGCCUUAGAAACAUUUUUCCAAGUAAGAGAUAGCUCAAAAUUGAACCGGGGUAGCUUUCAAAGUAAGAGAUAGCUCAUGAUUGAACCCGGGUUCUCAAAAUUGAACCGGGGUAGCUUUUGCUUAUUUGUCUUGGAAUUUUUUUUCCAAGUAAGAGAAUGCUCAUGAUUGAACUGGGGUAGCUUUUGCUUUUUUGGCUUAGAAAAUUUUUCAAAUUUUUUUCUAAGUAAGAGAUAGGUUAUAACUAGACCGGGGUAGCUUUUGCUUUUUUGCCUUAGAAAAUUUUUCAAGAAUUUUUUCUAAGUAAGAGAUAGGUCAUAACUAGACCGGGGUAGCUUUUGCUUGUUUGCCUUAGAAAAAAUUUUCCAAGUAAGAGAUAGCUCAUGAUUGAACCGGGGUAGCUUUUGCUUUUUUGCCUUAGAAAAUUUUUCAAAUUUUUUUCUAAGUAAGAGAUAGGUCAUAACUAGACCGGGGUAGCUUUUGCUUUUUUGCCUUAGAAAAUUUUUCAAGAAUUUUUUCUAAGUAAGAGAUAGGUCAUAACUAGACCGGGGUAGCUUUUGCUUGUUUGCCUUAGAAAGUUUUUCGAGAAUUUUUUUCUAAGUAAGAGAUAGGUCAUAACUAGACCGGGGUAGCUUUUGCUUGUUUGCCUUAGAAAAAAUUUUCCAAGUAAGAGAUAGCUCAUGAUUGAACCGGGGUAGCUUUUGCUUUUUUGCCUUAGAAAAUUUUUCAAAUUUUUUUCUAAGUAAGAGAUAGGUCAUAACUAGACCGGGGUAGCUUUUGCUUUUUUGCCUUAGAAAAUUUUUCAAGAAUUUUUUUCUAAGUAAGAGAUAGGUCAUAACUAGACCGGGGUAGCUUUUGCUUGUUUGCCUUAGAAAAUUUUUCGAGAAUUUUUUUCUAAGUAAGAGAUAGGUCAUAACUAGACCGGGGUAGAUUUUGCUUGUUUGCCUUACAAAAAAUUUUCCAAGUAAGAGAUAGCUCAUGAUUGAACCGGGGUACCCGGCUUCUCAAAAUUGAACCGGGGUAGCUUUGAAGUGUUCAGGUUUGUCUUCAUAGUGUUAGUAGCUGACCAUUGUGUGACUUGGAUCCCGGUUCAUAUCCAGACUAAGUUCUGGCAGGACUGGUGUCCACCAACCCGGGUUGAUUGCCUCUCCAGGGUCAUGGAAUUCUCUCCGGGUUGGGUGCGCCUCCGGGAUUGCGUCCUUGCAUUGUUGGUCCUUCGAACCGGGGUUGGAGUUAGUCUUGCUCCCGGUUCUUGGCGGGAUUGAGGUAACCCAAUCCGGAUUGGGAUACUUGUCAGGACAUGGUUGAACUAUUCUCACCAAUCCGGAUUCAUGUUCUGGAGUGGGUGGACUAUUCUCCGCUGGCCGAAUUCCUCCCGGGGUUGUGCUGAGUCUGGACCAGACUUGGCCAAGGACUUUGAGAAUACUGCCGGG
rnacentral:lncRNA from 1 species